rnacentral:lncRNA from 1 species
UAACUGGAUCGAAGUCAGAAAACAAGCUUAAGGGAUCGAAAACUACCUCACAAGCCGUGAACAGUGAUCCAAUCCGAGUUGAUCGAAGUUUCACGUGAAUCGAUCCAAACAACCACCAAGGAUCGAUCAGCGAAGCUAUUCUGAGCUCAACCAAGGAAUCGUUGAAGCCAUGAAGUCGCCGGAGUUGUGUUUUCCGGCCGGGUCCGAAAACACAAGGCUGCACCGCCUUGCAGCGCCGCCGUGGAGAAGAAUCGGCGAUAGAGACCACCAGAGGGACGACCAGACGGAGGAGACGACCCUGCUGGUCAAGUUUCACGGCCGGAGACCGCCGCAGUUGGCCGGAAAAGCCGGGUCGGAACGCCGGGUUCGGGUCGGGUCAGGCGG